GGGCUCGCUCUUUUGCAGCGCUUACUGCGCGGCGAAAACCUUACACACAGUGUCUUUUUGAUACAGAACUCUUGCUUUGGUUUGGCCUAGAGAUAGGUUGGGCCAGAGGUUUAACAAAACACAAUUUAAUUAUUUUUACAGUUAGUCAAAUUUUGAAUUAAUCUUCAAAACUUUCAACAACGGAUCUCUUGGUUCUCGCAUCGAUGAAGAACGCAGCGAAAUGCGAUAAGUAAUAUGAAUUGCAGAUUUUCGUGAAUCAUCGAAUCUUUGAACGCACAUUGCGCCCUCUGGUAUUCCAGAGGGCAUGCCUGUUUGAGCGUCAUUUCUCUCUCAAACCCCCGGGUUUGGUAUUGAGUGAUACUCUUAGUCGGACUAGGCGUUUGCUUGAAAAGUAUUGGCAUGGGUAGUACUGGAUAGUGCUGUCGACCUCUCAAUGUAUUAGGUUUAUCCAACUCGUUGAAUGGUGUGGCGGGAUAUUUCUGGUAUUGUUGGCCCGGCCUUACAACAACCAAACAAGUUUGACCUCAAAUCAGGUAGGAAUACCCGCUGAACUUAAGCAUAUCAAAAGCGGGAGGAAA
rnacentral:rRNA from 1 species